rnacentral:rRNA from 1 species
UACGAAGGGGGCAAGCGUUGUUCGGAAUCACUGGGCGUAAAGCGCACGUAGGCGGAUUGUUAAGUUAGGGGUGAAAUCCCGGGGCUCAACCUCGGAACUGCCUCUGAUACUGGCAAUCUUGAGUUCGGGAGAGGAGUGUGGAACUCCGAGUGUAGAGGUGAAAUUCGUAGAUAUUCGGAAAGAACACCAGAGGCGGAAGGCGGCACUCUGGCCCCGAUACUGACGCUGAGGUGGCGAAAAAGCGUGGGGAGCAAACAGGGAUUAAGAUACCCCCUGUAGUCC